CUUGUUUUAUGGCAAUUCUAAGAAGACAGCAAGGAGGGAAAGGACCACCACAGAGCAUUACCAAGGAACUGACAAAACCUUGAAAAGGGAUGGGAGAACUGUGGAUGGGGCAUCGUCAUUAAAGCUCAUGAAACAUGGGAUCAACACAUGUUCGGUACGGAAGAAUGGUCCACGAGAGCCGCCACUGAAGUAAUAUCUACCGUGACCCUUUACAGACAUCGAACGCAGCUACAGUAAAAUGACAAUACUGACAAUUGAUAACUUUACAGACAAUUUUUUUUAAAGUGCUGCAUCAGAAGAG